GAGGUGGUAUCUCAUUGUGGUUUUGAUUUGUAUUUCCCUGAUGAUGAGUAAUGUUGAGAAUCUUUUCAUGUGUCUGUUGGCCAUCUGGAUGUCCAUUCAUGUCUUCUGCCCAUUUCUUAACUGGGUUUUUUUUUUUUUUUUUUUGGUGUUGAGUUUGGUAAGUUCUUUAUAAAUUUUGGAUACUAAUCCUUUGCCAGAUAUAUCAUUUUCAAAUAUCUUCUCCCAUUCUCCAUGCUGUCUUUUAGUUUUGUUGAUUGUUUCCUUCUGUGUAGGUUAAGUCUUGAAGGAUUAAUAGGAUGAGAGAAGAGAGACUGUGGUGAUGAAUUCUAAGCAUGGAGACCAGCAAAAGUCAUCUUGGGACAUGAGAGAAUAUGAUGCAUCUGGACUAUGCCAGCAAGAAAGCAAGAUGUUUUGUCGGAUGAUCCAGAGAGCACUAAAUCCUGCCAACAGCUACAUGAAUUUUGAAAGAGAAUCUUCCCUGAUAAGACUUCAGUGCUGGCUAACAUCCUUCUGAGGGACACCAAAGCGGAAGAGCCAGUUAAGCUGUAUCCAUAUUCCUGAUUCACAGGAACCGUGAGGUAAUAAAUAGGUAUGAUUUUAAGUUAGUAAGUUUGUGGGUAUAUUGUUUUGUAG
rnacentral:lncRNA from 1 species